rnacentral:rRNA from 1 species
AUACGGAGGGUGCGAGCGUUAAUCGGAAUUACUGGGCGUAAAGCGUGCGUAGGCGGUUUGCUAAGUCAGAUGUGAAAGCCCCGGGCUUAACCUGGGAACUGCAUUUGAUACUGGCAGACUAGAGUAUGAUAGAGGGGGGUAGAAUUCCUGGUGUAGCGGUGAAAUGCGUAGAUAUCAGGAGGAAUACCAGUGGCGAAGGCGGCCCCCUGGAUCAAUACUGACGCUGAGGUACGAAAGCGUGGGGAGCGAACAGGAGUAGAAACCCUAGUAGUCC